GUUCUAACAUAAUAAGUAUUAUAUUUGCAAUAGACGGAGAAAAAUGAAGUUUUAUUCCCUUCUCAACACGUUGCAUUAUUUCUUCGCAAACCUGGAGUAUGUCAUGGCAGAUAAUCAGGUUAACGUUAUGGAAGGACGACGAUAACCUUUACUCGGCUCGAUACGCAAGACGAGAAAAGGUUCUGCCACGAAAUGGGUCUAAAAUCAAUAAUGCAGCUAAUAACAAGCGUCGAAUCCCCUGAAGUGAUGACGUUACAUCCAAUUUAGAGCCUCGCAUGUACGAUACCAAAGCGUGCAGGCUUCUCUUUGUGGGAUUUAAAGGCGAUCGACCAGAAGUAAGAGAGCCAGGAGCCGACCUAAACACAAGUUCAAACUUCAGUUGCAUGAGAAGGAGGAUUCUCCAAUGCACCGUGUGUCUCAACUUCCUUUAAGAUGCGAUCGAGCACAUCCUCGACGAACAACUAGUCUCAGCUUACAGGAUUUAGAAAAGGAUUCGUAAAAGUUUGCGACCUUGACUACAAAUCGACAAAAUCAACCGCCAAGUUUCACGUUCACGUGUGUACGUUAUCGUCGCUUCGCUUGAUCAUUGAAUGGUAGGAACUUCGCAGAUUGUAAAGUGCACUCGGUUGUGUAAUUUGAUGGGGUCGGUUUCCCUUUGUCAAUUGAACAGAAUUUAUGAGUGUAAUGGAACUUAAUUAAAUUGCGACGGAUUUUUAGAUCUUUUUUAAAGAUUUAAUUUGGAGAACAUUCAUUUUCCAAUUGUGUUUUGUCUAUUAUAAAUUAAUAACAAAAUUGCGAAUAAUGUUAAUAUCGAUAUCAAAAUUAAUGAAUAAAUGAAGUAGUUAAUGAACACAUAAUAAUUUAUGGAAUUUUUCUACAAAUGUUCAAAUAUUUUCAUGAGCUGCUACUACUCAUCACUAAUUUUUAUUAGGAAAAUAAUAUUAUUACAUUACUAAAAUCAUUAUGCUUUAUCGUACCAUGUUUUGUACAUCUCAUGAAGCUACGUAGAAAUCUUCAACCUGCUUCACAGAUUUUAAUUCCAAGUACGCUCUUCUCAAAGCAAAUUUCCUCAUUUUAACGGUCAUGGAAAGCUUCACGGUCAAUUGACGCCUAGCUUGAUCCAUUUGUGGCUAGGUUUAAUAAGGAGAGACGAUUGCACUGGUGCACUUCCGUCUCCCAUCCGUUUGAAUUGCUGUUUCUCCCUGGCCAAGCUUUCCACGGCUGUUACGUGUACAACGCGACAGAUAGUUUUCGGGUGCCGGCUGUUGGAACAGAGAGACACGAACUUGCGCUUCGUCCCAACGAUUGUGCCAGGCCUGUUCAGGACAAAAGCUGACUGUUGCCUGUGACACGGAUAAAGGGUAGCUGCGAGAUGCGUUUGAUAUCUUUUCCAAAUGCUUUUCGAUAUAUGUCUCGGUUUCGCCAGUAUAAAAUAAAUGCUGCGACCGUGCAACGCUUCCAAACUAACGGAUAUUUCGUAAAUUUUCCCGAACUGUACGGAGAUUUCAUGACUCGUGGGAUGGACGGACGCAUUUAUUUGCGCUAAAAGCUGUGAAAAUGCAUCGAAUAUUUGACAACGCGCUUGACGUUAUCACAUCUCUUUCAUCUCGUCGAUGCAUGUAUUAUAUAAAGCGAUGGAAUUUCCCAGAAGAUAACAAGAUACGUUUUUUUUUUUUUUUUUUUUUGGAGACAACUAUCGAAAAUUGUAGUAGUGAGUAUGAGUUACAUAGAGGAGCUGUUAAUGUGGCUGUGUGAUGUUGGAAUCCGUGAAAUUGCGAAACGAAAUUAAUAUCUUGACAUAUCAUUCAAGAAGAAAAUAAUUCUGCAUAUUUGCAGCGUUUAAUCGAUUUGGGGUCUUCGAGUGCACAACGGUUAUCAUUAUACCACAAUGACUGUAAAAUACAUAAAUUCGAUCGAGUUAUGAUCUUUUUACCAACGCUUCCGUUUUAUUAUUACAUUUCAUAUUUAUUAUAUUUUUGGCUCGUCACUGUAUAGUUUACGAUAAAAAAUAUGUGACACAAUAAACAUAAGAAAUACUAUGAUAUGUAGAAUACAAUGCAAUUUGAUGCUUUAUGAUAUAUGAAACCUUCGUGUCUCAUGGAAAAUGGAAGGAUCCAGGCUAACGAAGUGAAAUUGUCAGGCAGUGCGCAUAAGAUCUACGCGCUUCAUUUCGUGAUUCAUCCGCAAACAUUUAUGAUAUUCACUAUAUUUAAUGGAUAAUAUGCUAGAACGGACAUAAUUGGUUCUAGAACCUCGUUUGUCAUAAUAGAUAUAUUCGCUCCAAUGUACAUUGAAAUUUGUAUAUGUAUUAGGUGUAAUCCAUUCUAAGUCCACAAUCUGAAGUAAAUUCAGUAUACUCGUAUAAACAGAGAUAAUAUAUAAAUAAUACAGGACAAUGCCAUAUUAUUUUUCCCAACGAAAUAUAGAAUAAAAACCAAAAAUGAUGUAACACAAGAUAUUUGAAAUUUUCAUAGUAACAUAUAAUAAAAAGAAUAAAUCACGA